UACAGAGGGGGCAAGCGUUAUUCGGAAAUAUUGGGCGUAAAGGGCGCGUAGGCGGGUUCUUAAGUCCGAUGUGUAAUCCCCGAGGUUAACUUGGGAACUGCAUCUGAGACUGGGAGGCUAGAGUACUGGAGAGUGUGGUGGAAUUCCUCGUGUAGCGGGGAAAUGCGUAGAGAUGAGGAGGAACACCAGGGGCGAAGGCGGCAACCUGGACAGUAACUGACGCUGAGGCGCGAAAGUGUGGGUAGCAAACAGG
rnacentral:rRNA from 1 species